CCUACGGGAGGCAGCAGUGAGGAAUAUUGGUCAAUGGGUGCGAGCCUGAACCAGCCAAGUAGCGUGAAGGAUGAAUGCCCUACGGGUUGUAAACUUCUUUUAUAAAGGAAUAAAGUGAGGCACGUGUGCCUUUUUGUAUGUACUUUAUGAAUAAGGAUCGGCUAACUCAGAGCAAGCAGCCGCGGUAAUACGGAGGAGCCGAGCGUUAUCCGGAUUUAUUGGGUUUAAAGGGAGCGUAGAUGGGUUGUUAAGUCCGUUGUGAAAGUUUGCGGCUCAACCGUAAAAUUGCAAUGGAUACUGGCAGCCUUGAGUACAGUUGAGGUAGGCGGAAUUCGUGGUGUAGCGGUGAAAUGCUUAGAUAUCACGAAGAACUCCGAUUGCGAAGGCAGCUUACUAAACUGCCACUGACAUUGAUGCUCGAAAGUGUGGGUAUCAAACAGGAUUAGAUACCCCUGUAGUC
rnacentral:rRNA from 1 species